rnacentral:rRNA from 1 species
UAGGGAAUCUUCCGCAAUGGGCGAAAGCCUGACGGAGCAACGCCGCGUGAGUGAUGAAGGUCUUCGGAUCGUAAAACUCUGUUAUUAGGGAAGAACAAAUGUGUAAGUAACUAUGCACGUCUUGACGGUACCUAAUCAGAAAGCCACGGCUAACUACGUGCCAGCAGCCGCGGUAAUACGUAGGUGGCAAGCGUUAUCCGGAAUUAUUGGGCGUAAAGCGUGCGUAGGCGGUUUUUUAAGUCUGAUGUGAAAGCCCACGGCUCAACCGUGGAGGGUCAUUGGAAACUGGAAAACUUGAGUGCAGAAGAGGAAAGUGGAAUUCCAUGUGUAGCGGUGAAAUGCGCAGAGAUAUGGAGGAACACCAGUGGCGAAGGCGACUUUCUGGUCUGUAACUGACGCUGAUGUGCGAAAGCGUGGGGAUCAAACAGGAUUAGAUACCCUGGUAGUCCACGCCGUAAACGAUGAGUGCUAAGUGUUAGGGGGUUUCCGCCCCUUAGUGCUGCAGCUAACGCAUUAAGCACUCCGCCUGGGGAGUACGACCGCAAGGUUG